UACGAAGGGGGCUAGCGUUGUUCGGAAUUACUGGGCGUAAAGCGAGUGUAGGCGGUGUGGUAAGUCGGAUGUGAAAGCCCCGGGCUCAACCCGGGAAGUGCACUCGAUACUGCCACGCUAGAGUAUCGGAGAGGUUGGUGGAAUUCUCGGUGUAGAGGUGAAAUUCGUAGAUAUCGAGAGGAACACCGGUGGCGAAGGCGGCCAACUGGACGAAUACUGACGCUGAGACUCGAAAGCGUGGGGAGCAAACAGG
rnacentral:rRNA from 1 species